GGUAUAGACCCGAAACCCGGUGAUCUAGCCAUGGGCAGGUUGAAGGUUGGGUAACACUAACUGGAGGACCGAACCGACUAAUGUUGAAAAAUUAGCGGAUGACCUGUGGCUGGGGGUGAAAGGCCAAUCAAACCGGGAGAUAGCUGGUUCUCCCCGAAAGCUAUUUAGGUAGCGCCUCGUGAAUUCAUCUCCGGGGGUAGAGCACUGUUUCGGCUAGGGGGCCAUCCCGGCUUACCAACCCGAUGCAAACUGCGAAUACCGGAGAAUGUUAUCACGGGAGACACACGGCGGGUGCUAACGUCCGUCGUGAAGAGGGAAACAACCCAGACCGCCAGCUAAGGUCCCAAAGUCAUGGUUAAGUGGGAAACGAUGUGGGAAGGCCCAGACAGCCAGGAUGUUGGCUUAGAAGCAGCCAUCAUUUAAAGAAAGCGUAAUAGCUCACUGGUCGAGUCGGCCUGCGCGGAAGAUGUAACGGGGCUAAACCAUG
rnacentral:rRNA from 1 species